rnacentral:rRNA from 1 species
GACGAACGCUGGCGGCGUGCUUAACACAUGCAAGUCGAACGAAGUGGCGAACGUGUGAGUAACGCGUAAUCAACCUGCCCUUCAGAGGGGGACAACAGUUGGAAACGACUGCUAAUACCGCAUACUGAAGGAGGGGAUUGCGUCUGAUUCGCUCGUUGGUGAGGUAACGGCCCACCAAGGCGAAGAUCAGUAGCCGGUCUGAGAGGAGGAACGGCCACAUUGGGACUGAGACACGGCCCAGACUCCUACGGGAGGCAGCAGUGGGGAAUCUUCCGCAAUGGACGAAAGUCUGACGGAGCAACGCCGCGUGAGUGAUGAAGGCCUUCGGGUUGUAAAGCUCUGUUAAUCGGGACGCGGUACCGGAAUAGAAAGCCACGGUUAACUACGUGCCAGCAGCCGCGGUAAUA